UUUCCAUUAACUCGUGGAUUUAUAACCCGGACUGGUUCAUAAUCACAUAGCGUGUGCGCGCUUCUCGUGUGUGGUGCGUGCUUUAGUUUCGGAAACUUACAGACGUAACAUACAUUAUAUAAACAGUGUGUCAUUCGAAGGUUUUAGAUCCAAUCUUCCACUGGAGCAGUUCCCGUCCGCUUUGUGGUCCAGUUGCUGCACCUCAAACUCCUGCUUUCCAUUAAUCAAGAUUUGGCAGACAUGAUUUCUAAGAGUGUUGAUUGGAGACAAACAGAGCAUUCACACUGCUUCUUCAACUCCACCUGCCGUAGCCAUGGAAAUUCCUCCCAAUCCAGAGCCCAGGAAAUGCAGGGAGGCUGGGAAUGACUCGGAGCCCUCCUUCCAACUCUCUCACACAUACGGCAUGAUUCAAAUGAGUGAGGCAGUGUUGCAAGCAUCAAGGCCUACAGCAGCCAGAAAGAGAGACUGCCAAAGAGGCCUCCAGGACCCAAAGCUCCUUAGACCCCACAUUGGUACCCAGCCUCCAUGCCUUGUAAACCGAAUUGCAAUUUCUUCCCAUCUCCUCUCUAACACAUUCUGCAACACCAAAUAUAGCCGCCUAUUUCCAGCUCCCCAGUUCUAACGCGUAUCCUCCCCCUCAGCUGUCUUGCAAACGGGGCAUCUAAUCUGCUUUCUUCUUCAACACUCGCUUGCAUUGUAAACCAAUCCAAGAAAAUAUGAAGGGAGAGGGUGGAAGGUGCAAGGAUGAGAGAAAUAGUAUAAAAAAAGAGAGUGAAAAGAAAGAGAGCAAGGCCGAAAAAGAAUGGGGGAAAGGAGGAUGACCUACAAUUGCCCACAGUGUGAACCAUCUCUCUUUGAAGAACACAAAAACUGCUAUGAGACAAGGAAAGCCAGACCAGCCAUGAUGUGUGAAAUGCACAGCAGAAGAGGAGUGCAGAUUGAGCAUGGCUUGUUUUUGAAAUUCUUAUCACACAUUCAUAUCUACAUUUCAGUCAAGUGCACCAGAGGAAAGAUUGUUAGCUGUUCCAGUGAUGUUUCAUUCAAAAGGUCUAGCUGUCUCCUAAAAGCUUGAAAAACUCUGAUGCCAAUGUUCUAUAUUGUUUAGUGUUCUUCUUUUGAAGAAAAUGACCUUGUUGCAUAGAAAGAUCAAAUGUACCCUUGUCAAAAUUCAUGUUUUGCUUGGAUGAGAGGUUUGAAAAUCAACAGUGAUUCAUGUGAUUGUCAUACUACACAGCUCCCCUCAGGUCACCGAGCAGUUGUUGGAGAACAUCUGUACUGUUUAUCUUCAUAAAAUAGUUGUAAACUGUUUCCAAAUUUUGACAAUCCAUACUAAGAUUUAAAAAUUCAACGUAACUUGCAGUGAAAUGUAAACCU